rnacentral:rRNA from 1 species
UUAGGAAUCUUCCGCAAUGGGCGAAAGCCUGACGGAGCGACACUGCUUGGAGGAUGAAGGUCUUCGGAUCGUAAACUCCUGAACCUGCGACGAAAAAUGACGGUAGCAGGCUAAUAGCACCGGCUAACUCCGUGCCAGCAGCCGCGGUAAUACGGAGGGUGCAAGCGUUAUCCGGAAUCACUGGGCGUAAAGGGCGCGUAGGCGGUUUGUUAAGUCCGAUGUUAAAGACCGAGGCUCAACCUCGACACGGCGUUGGAUACUGGCAAGCUGGACGGUUGGAGAGGAAGGUAGAAUUACCAGUGUAGCGGUGGAAUGCGUAGAUACUGGUAGGAAUACCCAUUGCGAAGGCAGCCUUCUGGACAACACGUGACGCUGAGGCGCGAAAGUGUGGGGAGCAAACCGGAUUAGAUACCCGCGUAGUCC